GUCUACAUAGAUUAUAUUAUAAAUCAUGAUGCUGUUAACUUCAAAAAGAAAAUUUUUCUGUAGUCG
rnacentral:tRNA from 1 species